UGAAUGCCCUCUGACCUGGGGCAAGGAGGAGCUCUACGAUAAAAGCGAGCUUAACCUCUUUUCAAAGGAUCCGAGUCUCAUUCACUCAGCUUCCUGUCUUACUUUGAGAAAGUGUCCAAUCUCUUCUCCCGGUCGGCCAUGGAUCCUCCGCCGCCAAGUGCACCACUUCUCGCGCCCGCCCCGCCGCCUGGUCCGCCCGAUGGAGGAGGAUGCUUGGAUUGCCUGAUGUGGUUUCUGUGCUGCUGCGGUCUGUUCCGAAGCUGCUGCCCGCCGCUCUUCGAGCCCGGGGCUCCCCCGCCAUGAGGCUUUCCGCAUUUCCAGAAGAAAACCUGCCACGAGUAUUUCGAAAACCCGAUUUUUUUUUUUUUGGUACUGUUGAAAUGGGUGCAGAAUUGUGUGUUGGUCUGAUUUUACUUUGGAAAGUGCUUAGACAUUGUGUGUCCCUAAUUGACUCCGUUGUGUUGGUGUAAUAGCUCGGAUGCUGAGCCUCUUCUUCUGUCGCGUCUUCCUGUCCAAUUGAUGUACUUUUAUGUUAGUAAUACCGAUGAAAUCAGACAUCUCAAAUAUGAGGCUGGUCUGGAUUUUGCAGACU